rnacentral:rRNA from 1 species
CCUACGGGAGGCAGCAGUGAGGAAUAUUGGUCAAUGGGCGCGAGCCUGAACCAGCCAAGUCGCGUGAAGGAUGACGGCCCUACGGGUUGUAAACUUCUUUUGUCAAGGAGCAAUUGAGUCCACGUGUGGGCUUAGCGAGAGUACCUGAAGAAAAAGAAUCGGCUAACUCCGUGCCAGCAGCCGCGGUAAUACGGAGGAUGCGAGCGUUAUCCGGAUUUAUUGGGUUUAAAGGGUGCGUAGGCGGAAUAUCAAGUCAGCGGUAAAAAUUCGGGGCUCAACCCAGUCGUGCCGUUGAAACUGAUGGUCUUGAGUGGGCGAGAAGUAUGCGGAAUGCGUGGUGUAGCGGUGAAAUGCAUAGAUAUCACGCAGAACUCCGAUUGCGAAGGCAGCAUACCAGCGCCCAACUGACGCUGAAGCACGAAAGCGUGGGUAUCGAACAGGAUUAGAUACCCUAGUAGUC